UAUCUAAUUACCUCAUUUAUAAUUUCUGAUUCUUUCUUCAAGUGUUCGAUCAACAGAUGUUUCCAAUUGUAAUAACCAGUAAUUAAUCCUAGAAGAUCGCCUGCGACCAGUGUUCUCGUAAAGGAGGAAGCAUAUUCGAAAAAAAGUGAAGCCGGGUGACAUCCGUUUGGCCACACGGUUCGGGGUGUAAUAAAAUUAGCUUUUGCUAACUACUUUUUCUGAUUAUGAAGUUGGUGACAGUGUAACUAACUUACAUUGACGAACCGACGCAAGAAAGUAAAUGUGGUGAGAGUGAGAGAAUAAAAUGGGAUAAAAGUGCAAAGGACAAUUAGCACAACAAAAAUAUAUAAGUAACAGAUAUAGACAAGACAAUAAAAAAACCAUUAAAAUGU